AGAGGGUGGUCACCCACAAGAGGACUGAGACACUGCCCCAACUCCUACGGAAGGCUGCAGUCGAGGAUAUUUAGCAAUGGACGAAAGUCUGACUAUGCGACGCAGCGUGAGGGAUGAAGGUCUUCGGAUUGUAAACCUCUUUCGAUAGGGAAGAAAACCUGUUCUUAACGGAACAGACUGACGGUACCUAGAGAAGAAGCCACGGCCAACUCUGUGCCAGCAGCCGCGGUAAUACAGAGGUGGCGAGCGUUACUCGGAUUUAUUGGGUGUAAAGGGCAAGUAGGCGUCUUAACAAGUUGGAGGUGAAAUCCUGCAGCUCAACUGCAGAACUGCUCCCAAAACUGUUAAGAUUGAGACUGGAAGAGGAAAGCGGAAUUCUCGGUGUAAGAGUGAAAUCUGUAGAUAUCGAGAGGAACACCAGUGGCGAAGGCGGCUUUCUGGUCCAGUACUGACGCUGAAUUGCGAAAGCUAGGGGAGCAAACAGGAUUAGAUACCCUGGUAGUCCUAGCCGUAAACUAUGAGCACUAGGUGUUGGGGGUUUACCCUCAGCGCCGUAAGUUAACACGUUAA
rnacentral:rRNA from 1 species